UGUGGGAGCGGGCUUGCUCGCGAUGCAGACGGUGCGGUGUAUGCGAACAUCCGCGGCGAGGCCAUCGCGAGCAAGCCCGCUCCCACA
rnacentral:antisense_RNA from 1 species